UACGAAGGGGGCUAGCGUUGUUCGGAAUUACUGGGCGUAAAGGGCGCGUAGGCGGUGUGUCAAGUCAGGCGUGAAAGCCCCGGGCUCAACCUGGGAACCGCGCUUGAGACUGGCACGCUCGAGUUCGGGAGAGGAUGGUGGAAUUCCUGGUGUAGCGGUGAAAUGCGCAGAUAUCAGGAGGAACACCAAUGGCGAAGGCGGCUCGCUGGACCGGUACUGACGCUGAGGCGCGAAAGCGUGGGGAGCAAACAGG
rnacentral:rRNA from 1 species